rnacentral:rRNA from 1 species
CAGUAGCCGCGGUAAUACGAAGGGUGCAAGCGUCAAUCGGAAUUACUGGGCGUAAAGCGUGCGUAGGCGGUUUGUUAAGUCUGCUGUGAAAUCCCCGGGCUCAACCUGGGAAUGGCAGUGGAUACUGGCAAGCUAGAGUGUGUCAGAGGAUGGUGGAAUUCCCGGUGUGGCGGUGAAAUGCGUAGAGAUCGGGAGGAACAUCAGUGGCGAAGGCGGCCAUCUGGGACAACACUGACGCUGAGGCACGAAAGCGUGGGGAGCAAACAGGAUUAGAUACCCCUGUAGUCCCUGUCUCUUAUAC